rnacentral:lncRNA from 1 species
GGGUUAGAAAUAUAUAUAGAUUAAAUAAAAAAAUUGAUUAAAUCUAAUCAAGAGUUGAAUUAGAUUAGGUCGGAAUUUCUCUAGAUCAACCUCAAUAGUUGAAGCUUGAUCAAGUCCAUAUUUUUAACCUUACUAAAUAGAUCAUGUCAUGGCUCAAUGGUUGAGUCCAAAUCUUCUGAUGGACCAAAUUGAAACUAAUUAAUCAAUUGAUGUCUAAGAUAAGUUUGGUAGUUUGG